CCAUAGAGAUUCAUGUCAAAAAUCCCGAACUAUCCCUUUAAUACAUUAAUAGAACACAGUAACAGUAAAAAUACUCCCAUUUAAACCAGUAAAAGUGUCUUGUACAAGUAUCAUAGUUACUAUGCAGACGAUGUAUUUGUUUAUUUGUUUUAUUCAUUGUUUGUUCUUCGUUCUUCCUGACUCAAUCUUCUUCUCUGUGCCAGGUUUGACUUAAAGGAAUUUAAAUUACGGAUAAACAGUCAUAGUUACACCAUGACCAGUUAAACCACAUGCUGCUCAUCGAGGCUUCUGAUUGGCUGUUGGUCCAGCAGAGUGUUUGAACAGUGCUAGAGGAAGUAAUGGCGGUUGUUGUGGAGAAGAUGGAGGCCGGCUGACGGUCACAUGGGGUUCCUCGCCUCCGCUCACGUUUCGGUGAUCGUCUCCGUGGCAACAGACCUGGAAGCUGCUCCCUCUGCUAUUAUUUCUGUUUGUUUAGCUGAUGGUGGGAUGGAAGAGUCGCCACGGCAAUAGAGUCAGGGAGAAGGGCUGUUGCCACGGUAACAGCCAGAGAAGAAGGAACCACCUGAUGAGGUUUCCCAGAGACUAUGGGUUGAGGAGGAAUUGGAAGUUUGUCGGCUUAGACCUGGUGUCAUUCCAUCAGUGUUUAACUUCCCGGCUCAUCUUGGAAGAGUACGUGCCAGAAAGACCACGACCAAGCAGCCUUGAGAUCUUAGGCAGCGUCUCCCUGAGGUCCCUCUCUAUCUCCCCACACAUCCACCAACCACUGGAACACAUCUCCAAAGUUCUGCUGGUCCAGCUCAGCUUCCCCUCAGAAGAAGUGCUGCCACCUGCCAGAUGAAGGAGCCUUUUGGGAGGCAGCUGGCAUCGUGAUUGGACUGUACUUUGGUCUGUUCCAAUCCAGCUUCAGCUCCAGAGACGGCAGGCGGGACGAGUCAACGGAGGCCGGAUGGACGAAGGCAUGCAGCUGAGUACAAUCCAGAAAACAACAGAGGAGGAGUGCAGCAGCCCAGAGCCAGAACAACCAGAGUAGCAUCGUAUGUCCCUUAGAAAACAUCAUAGUAGAGCCUUUGGUAUGAAAAAACACCAUCAUAUACAUCGUAUAUUGUACAAAUAACAAGUCAAAGGACAGAGACAUACAUUGUAGAAUUGUAGUAAUUGUGGGCUGACUGAUUUACUGAUUAUCAUUAUUUUAUUUUUUAACAUCUGUAAACAAAACAAAAACAUAUCAACAAAGUUUUCUGUUAGAGUUUGUGUUCUUCUAAGUUUAACUCAAGAUUUUAAAUACUUUCAUUUACUGCAAAUGAAUAUCUACUCCAAAUGUCUCACUAAUAAUCAUUAUCAGCCUUAAAAACCCAUAAAACACCCCUCUAUACUGGACCACACUUAGUACAGUCCGGUUCCCCCUUCUAUAAAUCUGCUUGGAAUCUUCCACUUCCUGUUUGUCAAAGUGGCCUUCUACCUGGACAGGUUUUGUUGGAGCUCAUGCAACAAACAUUUUGGGUAACUGCACUUUAAUAUGGAUGGAUGACACUGAAUUAGAGUCUGUUUUCAUGAGACUGAGUUAAGAUGUGCAGCUCUGUCAUUAAAUAGUAAAUUAUUUCUCAGAAUUCACAGAGGAAAGUCUGAAAUGUUUGCUAGGUUAGCGUCCCACAUGUUCUUUGGCUCAGCUAAAGCUAACUCUCUCCAACUUCUGGAUCUCUUCAGUUGCUUGUUGUUAAAAUAUCUUGCUAGAGGUGCUGAAGCUCAGAAAGUCUGAGAUGUUUGUUCAAAAUAAGCUCAUUCUCAAGUCUGAUCUGAACUUUCCUCUUUUGUUUGAACUUUCCCUAAACUUAGGAGUUAAUGACAGAGCAGCACAUCCAGACUCAGUCUCAUUUAUGUACAGAUUAAACUUCAGUGUCAUUCAUUGAUGUUAAAGUGCAGUUUUUCAAAUGUUUGUUGCACAUGCUCCCGACCAAACCAGUCCAGGUGGAAGACGAUGUGAAGAGAAAGCUCCAGAGGAUGAAUAUCACACAUUUAUGUUGGAAAUAAAUGUCCUGUCAUUAGACAUUGUCAUGCGAAAGUUGGAUUUCCCUUUAAUGAUGUUCAAAUCUUUGUUGAGUGUUUUGUUGAUGUUUGUUUCUAAAUGUUUUCUGACACUCGGCCCCAAAGAUUAAAACCUUCUACGGCUCACAAGCUGCAACAAUUCACACAUUAUCAACUAUCUUUCUGACUAAACUAAGAUAAAAAGUGAAAAACUGCCUGAUUCCUGCAUCAUGAAUGUAAAUCUUUUUGGUUUUUAUGACCGUAAACAAUAUAUUUGGGCUUGACAUUUUAUAAACCAAAACAAGAAAUGAAUUAGUGGAGAAAACAAUCAACAGAUUAAUGGACAACGAAAAUGUGUUUUCCAACAUAUAUGGCUGAAUUACUCCAACAUUACAAGAUACAUACAAUUUUAAUUCAAUUUUAUUUAUAUAAUGCCAAUUACAGGUGAAAUUGUCUCAAGAUGCUUUAUUUUUUAUAUUUUUUUGUCAUAUUUAAAAUAUGACAAAGUAAGAAAUUUAAACCUCUUGACUAAUCCAAUUUAUUAUUUGGUUUUUAAGAGACUAAUUGACAAUUAAAACUUUCUCCACUAAAACUAAUAAACAUGAGGUCAAAUAGAAGGAAGAGUUUUAAAUACUGCAGUCCCACGACGACAAGAAUAAAGUUUGUCAAGAAAAACUAAAUCUGCUGGUGGAUUCCAUUAAAAUCCUAAUAAAUGAUAAUAAAGUGUGAUACUAAAGGUUUGUGGUGCUAAAAAUCUCAAAGUAAAGAUAUCGAGUUGAACAUCUGGAUGGAGGUUGAUAAAAGUUGACCUCCCUUCAUUUCUCUGGAGCGACUCCAUGGAUUUUAUGGAUGGUGGUUAAAGACCUGCUCUUCUAGUGGUCUUCCUUCUAGUUGCUGUAAAAAGUCAGUCCAUCCUGGCUGACUUCAACACCUCUUCAUGAUGACUUGUUCUGCCUCCGACCUGGUGGAAACUCCAGAAACUCGGGAAAACCCGUGGAGCCUCGAAGAACUCGUGGAGACUCGAAGAACUCGU